rnacentral:lncRNA from 1 species
AUGGAGCUGGAACAGGGGAGGGUCAGGAUGGGUGUUAGGAAAAAGUUCUUCACCGAGGUAUUUGGGCACUGGGACAGGCUCCCCAGGGAAGUGGACACAGCACCAAGCUUCCCUUUCCUUUCUUUGCCUUUCCUUACCUUGCUUUGCCUUGCCUUUCCUUUUCAUUUCUUUCUGUCAGGCAGAACCACUGUCAUCCCUGGGGCUGGGCCUUGUGAGGAGGAUCUCAUCUGCGAGAAACUGGCUUGCCUUCCACCAGUGCAGCAUGGCAGGGUUCACGGAGCACUCAAAGUCCUCCUAUUUAGAAAUCCUCACAGAGUCUAAGUGAAGAAAAAUCUGUGGAACAUCUUUCAUCCUGAGCCACAUGGUGCUGGCCUCCUCAGAGAAAGAGUGAGAUGCCUGGGGAUAUACAGUGCAAGAACGCCUUCCAAUGCUCUUAUCCAAUUUUGAGAAGAACAGAGGGUGACAAUAUCUAGAUUUGCCAGUAUUGCCCCUUUCACUUACAUAGCCUAUCUGAGCAUAAUCUGUUCUUUGAAAGCAGAAGAAAGCACUAUUGGAAAACUGGGGAUUUAACGAAAUUGAAUGAUAAUUUCAAAAGCUCAUUUAGAAGGGCUUACCUGUAGUCUCUUCAUAACAGUUGCAAGAAGGUUGUUCGCAAUAGGUUGAAAUCAUCCUGUCUGAAGCAUGUCACUUAAUGUCAAUGCCUGUACAGCCUUUAUAUUUACCUGUACAUACUGCAUGGAUAGGGACUAACACAUUCCGGGUCCACAAACCAGUCUCAUUGGAAAGUGGGAGGAAGAUUUAUUUUUCAAAUAAAAUAUAAUAUUAUGAGGGUAGGGAUCUUUAU